rnacentral:rRNA from 1 species
CUCAGAACGAACGCUGGCGGCGUGCCUAACACAUGCAAGUCCAACGUGAAAGGGGAGCAAUCCCCCGGUAGGGUGGCAAACGGGUGAGUAAUACAUGGGUGAUCUACCUUAGGGAUGGGGAUAUCCUUCCGAAAGGAGGGGCAAUACCGAAUAUUGUCCGGAGCCGUGAAGGGUUCCGGGGAAAGGGAGGCCUCUGAUACAAGCUUUCGCCUUAAGAUGAGCCCAUGGCCCAUCAGCUAGUUGGUAGGGUAAAGGCCUACCAAGGCUACGACGGGUCGCUGGUCUGAGAGGACGACCAGCCACACUGGCACUGAGAUACGGGCCAGACUCCUAC